CAGGGAUUAUCCUGCAUGGGGAUAAGGUGGCGCUGCGCAAGAACACCUUGUCAAAGACCAAUCUGGAGCAGCACAGUUGCUUGAUUGGCGUUUGCAACGUGGGAAACUACCACUGGAUACUCUUGUAUGUCAAACGCAGGACACACUCUGCCAUUGUCCUGGACCCUACUGGUUCCCCUAACACAGAGCCAUAUGAGCGAGAACCUGGUGAAGCACAUCAGAUACUGGUUUGAUGAACGAACCCGCAGAACUGGGACAAUGUUUUCAGCAAUGUUCCCUGGCAGGCGGCGACAAUACCGCACACCAAGCAAAUCGACGGCUACAAUUGUGGAGUUUAUGUGCUGCUGACGGCCAGAGAGUUAAUGCAGAGGGAGAAGGCACUAAGUGACCCAACUGUCCCAAUGCAUGUUAACAUCGGUGGUGCCAGAAUGGAGGUGGCCAAAGAGAUCCUGGACAAAGAACUUAACAGGAAACUCUACUGCAGUUUCUGUGCAACAGAUGAGGGGGGAGACUGGAUGGAGUGCUCCACAUGCUCCAGUUGGUACCACACCUCCUGUGCUGGGGUAUCCAUCAGCAUUUACCAUCAACACAUGGAGAAUCCUGCCUUACAAUGGAUAUGCCCACACUGCCACAAUUGAAAACCUGCACACCAAGGCUACUAUUGGGUUGAUACUGUGUGAAAUCUAUAUAAUGUCCAGAGGUGUAAAAGAUUUACAACUACAGUAGAUAGAUUUUAGGGAUGUCCCCAGAGAGAGAGAGAGAGAGAGAGAGAGAGAGAGAGAGAGAGAGAGAGAUUCCGAGUUGAACAUCCCUACUCAGCCACUAUUUAUUCCCAUUGAUGUUCGACCGUUGAACAGGUGCUCUGUAGGUCAGGUCAUGAUAACACCACUCAUCAACCUACGGGUGUCAGGGAAUCACAGCGAUACCAUUCAGUUCCUGCUUUGGGAUUCUCCUGGGCCAAACGGCACAAUCCACUCAUCAACUGGUCUACCGGUGCUAUCAUGGCCUGGAGUUUGUCUGAAUUGUCUGAAUUCGGCACAACUUCCCCCGGG
ensembl:lncRNA